rnacentral:rRNA from 1 species
ACGUAGGAGGCGAGCGUUGUCCGGAAUUACUGGGCGUAAAGAGCGCGUAGGUGGCGCUGUACGACCUGUGUGAAAGCCCCCGGCUCAACUGGGGAAGGUCAUGGGUAACGGCAGUGCUGUGAGUGCAGGAGAGGGGAGUGGAACUCCGGGAGUAGCGGUGAAAUGCGUAGAGACCCGGAGGAACACCAGUGGCGAAGGCGGCUCCCUGGCCUGUAACUGACGCUGUGGCGCGAAAGCUGGGGGAGCAAACGGGAUUAGAUACCCCGGUAGUCCCAGCCGUAAACGAUGGACACUAGGUGUGCGCGGUAUCGACCCCGCGCGUGCCGGCGCUAACGCAGUAAGUGUCCCGCCUGGGGAGUACGGCCGCAAGGCUA